rnacentral:lncRNA from 1 species
GGUACAAAAGCAGUUUAACAAAAACAGGUUAUGCAUUACAAUAGGAGCUAUCUACAAUAGUAGCAAAAUCUAAUGCAAGCAUGAGGGAGAAAGAUGGGUGGCAUCGGAAUGAUCAAGGGGGUUUGCUUUCCUGAUUGCUCUGCACACAGAUACUGAUCCUCGACGAUGAAGUAGUCGAUCACCGGAUCAACAUCAGUCUCGGGGUCUACCGAAAAAGAAGUAACUAAGGGGAAAACAAAUAAAUAACGGAUCAAUCAAAUGCAACACAAAUGCAAAGGCACGACAAGAUGUGUGGGUGACAUGCUCUAAUGCAUCCCUAAGCAUUUAAAAAAAAGGAGGAAAUAUCCUGCCAUAUUUUCCUCGCUCCAUGUAUUAUUCGGCAUA